UACGUAGGGUCCGAGCGUUGUCCGGAGUUACUGGGCGUAAAGCGCGCGUAGGCGGCUUUGUAAGUUAGAGGUGAAAGCUCGGAGCUCAACUCCGAAAUGGCAUUGGAAACUACCUUGCUCGAGGGUUGGAGGGGGGACUGGAAUACUUGGUGUAGCAGUGAAAUGCGUAGAUAUCAAGUGGAACACCAGUGGCGAAGGCGACUUCCUGGCCUGUUCUUGACGCUGAGGCGCGAAAGCUAGGGGAGCAAACGGG
rnacentral:rRNA from 1 species